rnacentral:tRNA from 1 species
AUCCUAGUAGCUUAGUGGUUGGAGUUUUAGCCUCCAACUCUAAGGUACUUGGGUUCAAAUUCCAGCAAUGACA